CAGCAGCCGCGGGAAAACGUAGGUGGCAAGCGUUGUCCGGAAUUAUUGGGCGUAAAGGGCUCGCAGGCGGUUUCUUAAGUCUGAUGUGAAAGCCCCCGGCUCAACCGGGGAGGGUCAUUGGAAACUGGGAAACUUGGGUGCAGAAGAGGAGAGUGGAAUUCCAUGUGUAGCGGUGAAAUGCGUAGAGAUGUGGAGGAACACCAGUGGCGAAGGCGACUCUCUGGUCUGUAACUGACGCUGAGGAGCGAAAGCGUGGGGAGCGAACAGGAUUAGAUACCCCAGUAGUCCCUGUCUCUUAUAC
rnacentral:rRNA from 1 species